AACGAACGCUGGCGGCAUGCCUAACACAUGCAAGUCGAACGAGACCUUCGGGUCUAGUGGCGCACGGGUGCGUAACUCGUGGGAACCUGCCCUUAGGUUCGGAAUAACUCCCCGAAAGGGGUGCUAAUACCGGAUAAUGUCUUCGGACCAAAGAUUUAUCGCCUUUGGAUGGGCCCGCGUUGGAUUAGCUAGUUGGUAGGGUAAAAGCCUACCAAGGCGACGAUCCAUAGCUGGUCUGAGAGGAUGAUCAGCCACACUGGGACUGAGACACGGCCCAGACUCCUACGGGAAGCAGCAGUGGGGAAUAUUGGACAAUGGGCGAAAGCCUGAUCCAGCAAUGCCGCGUGAGUGAUGAAGGCCUUAGGGUUGUAAAGCUCUUUUACCCGGGAUGAUAAUGACAGUACCGGGAGAAUAAGCUCCGGCUAACUCCGUG
rnacentral:rRNA from 1 species